rfam:Oryza sativa Japonica Group DNA, chromosome 3, cultivar: Nipponbare, complete sequence.
AAAAAAGACAGACCCUGGUUUCCGUGUCCAAAGUUUGACUGUCCGUCUUAUAUGAAAAUUUUUUAUAAUUAGUAUUUUUAUUGUUGUUAGAUGAUAAAACAUGAUUAAUACUUUAUGCGUGACUUAUCUUUUUAAAUUUUUUUUUAUAAUUUUUUCAAAUAAAACGAACAGUUAAACGUUGGACAAGGAAACCUAAUGCUUGUCUUUUU